rnacentral:lncRNA from 1 species
CCAGGAUCUUUCUAUUGAUGAGAGUAUGGUGUUGAAGUCUCCCACUAUUAUUAUGUGAGGUGCAAUGUGUGCUUUGAGCUUUACUAAAGUAUCUUUAAUGAAUGUGGCUGCCCCUGCAUUUGGAGCAUAGUUAUUCAGAAUUGAGAGUUUAUCUUGGAAGAUUUUACCUUUGAUAAGUAUGAAGUGCCCCUCCUUGUCUUUUUUGAUUACUUCGGAUUGGAAGUCGAUUUUAUUCGAUAUUAGAAUGGCUACUCCAUCUAAGAGAAACCUGAUUUUUGACAAAGAUGCCAAAACUAUACAAUGGUAAAGAAGAAAGCACCUUCAACAAAUUGUGCUGGAGUAACUGAAUGUGUGAAUAUAGAGGAACAAAAAUAGAUCUAUAUCUGCAUAUAGAGGAACACAAAUAGAUAUAUAUCUUCAACCCUGAACAAAAAUCAAGUCCAAGUGGAUCAAAAACCUCUUCAUAAAACUGGUACAGUAAAUCUGAUAGAAGAGAAACUAAGUAAUCUUCUUGAAUGCAUUGGCACACCAACAGCUCAUGUACUAAGGUCAACAAUUAGUAAAUGGAAUCUCAUGAAUUUGAAAAGCUUCUGUAAGGUGAAGGACACUAUCAAAGGUCAAGUCAGCAGCCUACAGAAUGGGAAAAGAUCUUCACCAAUUCUACAUCUCAAAGAGAUCUGGUACCCAAAUUAUAUAAAGAAGUCAAAAAAUGAGACCUCAACAAACCAAAUACCCCAAUUAAAAAUCGGGUAAAGGCUUAAACAGACUUCUCAACACAUUAAUUUCUAACAGCCCAGAAUAACUUAAAGAAAUGUUCAGCAUCCUUAUUCAUCAUGGAAAUCCAAAUCAAAAUGACUUUGAGAUCCUAUCUCAUACCUAUCAGAAUGGGAAACAUAAAACAAAAAACAAAAAAACGAAAGGAACAGCACGUGCUAGUGAAGAUGUGGAACAAGGGGAAAACUUUUCCAUUGCUUCUGGAGAGCAAACUUGUACAACCACUUUGCUAAUCAAUUUAGCAGUUUCUCAGAAAAUUAGGAAGAGUUCUACCUCAAGACCUAGCUAUACCACUCCUAGAUAUAUACCUAAAAUUGUCUCACUAUAACUCAAGGACACUUGCUCAGUUACCUUAUAGCAACUUUAUUCAUAAUAGCUAGAAACCAUAAGCAAGCUAAAUGUCCCUCAUAUGAAAUGUGGUUAAAACAAAUGUGGUAUAGUUGUACACAUCAUGAACUUUGCAAGUGUAUUGAACUAGAAAAUAUCCUGAGUGAGAUAACCCAGAGUCAGGAAGACAAACUUGGUAAUAUACUCACGUAUAGGUGGAUAGUGGCUAUAAAAUACAGGAUAACCAUGGUACAAUCCACAGAUCCAAAGAAUGAAAGUAACAAGGAGUGCCCAAGAGCAGAUGCUUUGACCUUAAUUAAGAAAAGGAAAUAGAAUAGACAUGGGGGUAGCUGGAGGGAAUGAAUGGGGUUAGGGAGGAGUUGGAGAGGAGAGUAGGAGAGAUAAUGUGAGGGAAGGACAGAGGAAGAGAGUGCUGAGAAAGAGAACUAGUCAGUGGCAGUUAGGGAGCAUCUCUGGGACAAGCUAGAAACCUAGGACAAUAAAUACUCCCAGGAAUCUAAGCAGAUGGCCCUAGUUAAGUCUCAUAGCAAUGUGAAAUAUGGAAACUGAAAUUACCACCUCCUAUAGCUAGAAAAACACUUAGGAGUGGAGGGAUGGUGACACCAACUCAGCUACAAAACCUUAGAUCCACUAUUUCUCCUGCCAACAAGAAGUACAGAAAUAAAGAUGGAAUAGAAAUUGAGGAAAUGGCCAAUCAAUGGCUAGCCCAUCUUGAGAACUAUGCCAUGAAAGAGAUUCCACCCCUGACACAAUGCUAUUUUGUUAUACUUCAAGAAAGGCACCUAGCCGAUCUGUCACCGGAGAGGCCUCAGCCAAUAGACCUACAGACCUACAGUCAAACAUUAGGCAGAGCUUGGAGAAUUCUAUAAAAGAUGGAGAAAAAGGACUGUAGAAGUCAGAGAGGUCAAGAACAAUACAAGAAAACAUACAGAAUCAACUAACCUGGUACCAUAGGAGCCAACUGAGACUGAACUACCAAACAGUGAUCAAACAUAGGGGGGACCUAAGCCCUUGGCAUAGUUGUGAAGUUUGGUCUUCAUUUGAGACUCUUUUUUGGGGGGGGGGUGUUUUUUGUUGUUGUUGUUUUUUGUUUGUAUGUUUGUUUGUUUUUUCGAGACAGGGUUUCUCUGUGUAGCCCUGGCUGGCUGUCCUGUAAUUUACUUUGUAGACCAGACUGGCCUCAAACUCAGAAAUCCGCCUGCCUCUGCCUCCCGAGUGCUGGGAUUAAAGGCGUGCGCCACCACUGCCCGGCUUCAUCUGAGACUCUUUACAGCACAAAAAAGAUCUGUUUCUGACUCUAUUGGCUGCCUUUGGAUCCUUCUCCUAAUUGGGCUGCCUUGUCUCGCUAAAAUAGGAGAAGAUGAUCCUAGUUCUACUGCAACUUGAUAUGCCAAAAUAGGUUGAUAUCCAUGGGAGGACACACCUUUUCAAAGCCUUUUCUGAAGAGAGAGGGAUGACAAGAUGAUGGCAGGUAGGGGAGGGAAGAGAGAGAAGAGGAGGAAGGGGAGGCCAUGAUCAAAAUGCAAACUAAAUUAAUUAAUAAAAAUUCUUUAAAAAUUAAUAUCAUUUAGGGUUUGCCAUUGCAUGUACAAUGCGGUGCACAAAUGAUACCCCUAGAAAGCAAAAACAUGCCAUGUAUGUACUAAUUAAUCCUUCACUCUUCUUUGAUAACUGAAUGAAAGAUUACUCUUUUAAUAAACUUAGUUACACAAAAAUCAAAUGUUCCUGUGGGACAGGAAGAAAAUAUAAAUGACUCAAGUGGGCAUUGGAGUCUAUAGCAAACUUUAAGCACUCAUAUCCCAUUUAAAGUAACAUGGGACUGUUUAUAUAACUAUUAGCAUAUGAACUCAAGAACAGCAGAUUUUCUGAUUUCUUCCAGAGAAACUAGAAAGGUAGAUUUAAUUGUGUCUGACUUUUAGACUAGAGCAAUAGCUAAAAGUGCUAUCACAUUAUAUAGAGUUGAUUUCUGUGCUGUAAUAUAGUCUGAUUAUUGUUUGUUUUAUCCACUAAGCAGAAAACUUAUGCUUGCAUCUUAUUUAUUAUGUUUUGUGUCUGUAAAAAUGAGUACAGUACAUAACACAUAGUAUGAUUUAGUAAAUGUUUGAUAAAUAAAUACAUGAACAACUAAAUACUUCAG